AUUGAACGCUGGCGGCAUGCCUAACACAUGCAAGUCGAGCGAGCGGCGGACGGGUGAGUAAUGUCUGGGCAACUGCCUGAUGGAGGGGGCUAACUACUGGAAACGGUAGCUAAUACCGCAUACCAUCAGAUGUGCCCAGGUGGGAUGAGCUAGUAGGUGGGGUAAUGGCUCACCGAGGCGACGAUCCCUAGCUGGGCUGAGAGGAUGACCGGCCACACUGGAACUGAGACACGGUCCAGACUCCUACGGGAGGCAGCAGUGGGGAAUAUUGGACAAUGGGCGCAAGCCUGAUGCAGCCAUGCCGCGUGUGUGAAGAAGGUCUUCGGGUUGUAAAGCACUGUCAGCGAGGAGGCGUUACUCGCAGAAGAAGCACCGGCUAACUCCGUGCCAGCCGCCGCGGUAAUAC
rnacentral:rRNA from 1 species